rnacentral:rRNA from 1 species
GACAGAGGAUGCAAGCGUUAUCCGGAAUUAUUGGGCGUAAAGCGUCUGUAGGUGGCUUUUCAAGUCCGCCGUCAAAUCCCAGGGCUCAACCCUGGACAGGCGGUGGAAACUACCAAGCUGGAGUACGGUAGGGGCAGAGGGAAUUCCCGGUGGAGCGGUGAAAUGCGUAGAGAUCGGGAAGAACACCAACGGCGAAAGCACUCUGCUGGACCGAUACUGACACUCAGGGGCGAAAGCUAGGGGAGCGAAUGGG